rnacentral:rRNA from 1 species
UGGGGAAUAUUGGACAAUGGGCGAAAGCCUGAUCCAGCCAUGCCGCGUGUGUGAAGAAGGCCUUUUAGUUGUAAAGCACUUUAAGUGGGGAGGAAAAGCUUAUGGUUAAUACCCAUAAGCCCUGACGUUACCCACAGAAUAAGCACCGGCUAACUCUGUGCCAGCAGCCGCGGUAAUACAGAGGGUGCAAGCGUUAAUCGGAAUUACUGGGCGUAAAGCGCGCGUAGGUGGUUAUUUAAGUCAGAUGUGAAAGCCCCGGGCUUAACCUGGGAACUGCAUCUGAUACUGGAUAACUAGAGUAGGUGAGAGGGGAGUAGAAUUCCAGGUGUAGCGGUGAAAUGCGUAGAGAUCUGGAGGAAUACCGAUGGCGAAGGCAGCUCCCUGGCAUCAUACUGACACUGAGGUGCGAAAGCGUGGGUAGCAAACAGGAUUAGAUACCCUGGUAGUCCACGCCGUAAACGAUGUCUACCAGUCGUUGGGUCUUUUAAAGACUUAGUGACGCAGUUAACGCAAUAAGUAGACCGCCUGGGGAGUACGGCCGCAAGGUUA